rnacentral:rRNA from 1 species
CUACGGGACGCUGCAGUGAGGAAUAUUGCACAAUGGGGGGGACCCUGAUGCAGCAACGCCGCGUGGAGGAUGACGCAUUUCGGUGUGUAAACUCCUUUUAUAUGUCAAGAAAAUGACGGUAGCAUAUGAAUAAGCACCGGCUAACUCCGUGCCAGCAGCCGCGGUAAUACGGAGGGUGCAAGCGUUACUCGGAAUCACUGGGCGUAAAGGACGCGUAGGCGGGUUGGAAAGUCAGGUGUGAAAUCCUACAGCUUAACUGUAGAACUGCACUUGAAACUUCUAAUCUAGAGUAUGGGAGGGGGAGAUGGAGUUAGUGGUGUAGGGGUAACAUCCGUAGAUAUCACUAGGAAUACCUAAAGCGAAGGCGAUCUCCUGGAACAUUACUGACGCUAAGGCGUGAAAGCGUGGGGAGCAAACAGGAUUAGAUACCCCCGUAGUC